rnacentral:antisense_RNA from 1 species
CUUGAGGGAGCCGAGCCAGAGGGGUUCGCCCUCACGGCUCUGGCCGUAGGUGGCCAGCAGUGCCUGUGCCUC